GACGAACGCUGGCGGCGUGCCUAAUACAUGCAAGUAGAACGCUGAAGGAGGAGCUUGCUUCUCUGGAUGAGUUGCGAACGGGUGAGUAACGCGUAGGUAACCUGCCUGGUAGCGGGGGAUAACUAUUGGAAACGAUAGCUAAUACCGCAUAAGAGUAGAUGUUGCAUGACAUUUGCUUAAAAGGUGCAAUUGCAUCACUACCAGAUGGACCUGCGUUGUAUUAGCUAGUUGGUGAGGUAACGGCUCACCAAGGCGACGAUACAUAGCCGACCUGAGAGGGGGGUCGGCCACACUGGGACUGAGACACGGCCCAGACUCCUACGGGAGGCAGCAGUAGGGAAUCUUCGGCAAUGGACGGAAGUCUGACCGAGCAACGCCGCGUGAGUGAAGAAGGUUUUCGGAUCGUAAAGCUCUGUUGUAAGAGAAGAACGAGUGUGGGAGUGGAAAGUUCACACUGUGACGGUAUCUUACCAGAAAGGGACGGCUAACUACGUG
rnacentral:rRNA from 1 species